rnacentral:rRNA from 1 species
UACGAAGGGGGCUAGCGUUGCUCGGAAUCACUGGGCGUAAAGGGUGCGUAGGCGGGUCUUUAAGUCAGGGGUGAAAUCCUGGAGCUCAACUCCAGAACUGCCUUUGAUACUGAGGAUCUUGAGUUCGGGAGAGGUGAGUGGAACUGCGAGUGUAGAGGUGAAAUUCGUAGAUAUUCGCGAGAACACCAGUGGCGAAGGCGGCUCACUGGCCCGGUACUGACGCUGAGGUGCGAAAGCGUGGGGAGCAAACAGGG